UACGUAGGGUGCAAGCGUUUGUCCGGAAUUAUUGGGCGUAAAGAGCUCGUAGGCGGUCUGUCGCGUCUGCUGUGAAAACUCAGGGCUUAACCCUGAGCUUGCAGUGGGUACGGGCAGACUAGAGUGCGGUAGGGGAGACUGGAAUUCCUGGUGUAGCGGUGGAAAUGCGCAGAUAUCAGGAGGAACACCGGGUGGCGAAGGCGGGUCUCUGGGCCGUAAC
rnacentral:rRNA from 1 species